rnacentral:lncRNA from 1 species
GAAGAUAAAAUUCCGGUGUACGGUGGCGCCAGGCCGGCCACAACCCGCAAACAGAAUCUUUCCGCCUCUCUUGUGAGGCUCUUCCAUCACGGUUACACGACUGAUCGUGUUCUUGCCGGAUAGGUGAUCAUAAAAUUCGUUUAUUUAUACUUAGGCAAGAAGAUAGCUUUUGCUCAUCCUAAUACCUUGCGCAGGGUUUUCAGUCAGGUGCCGCCGCAGUGGGAAACCUUCCUCCGAUGUGGCCGUACCGGCGACGUGCAGUCAUGCUUGACGUUUCUAGGGAAAAAGGGGUCGUUAGUUCUGCAGUAGUACGCACGGCGUGAAGAAGGGUUAUGUUCUGUUUCAAAAGUCCUGCGUAUAGUAGUGUUGGUAGUAUGUUAUAGUGUGUUAUGUUAUGAAUUUCAAAACGGGGUUGGCAGGUCUAUAGGCCAAUUCUGUAUUAGGUGCUACGUACCAGUGUCCUAACGUGUCGUCCGUUCCAAAAGUGUUCAAUAAUGUACGUCCGUGUGUCCCGCGGCUGUUAUCUUAAUGCAUGUUGUGUAAUAUGUAAUAUAUAAUAUGUAUGUAGCGGAAGUAUCCAGUGAAUUUGGAUUUCAGUGAAAACCUGC